rnacentral:rRNA from 1 species
AGUUUGAUCCUGGCUCAGGAUGAACGCUGGCGGCGUGCUUAACACAUGCAAGUCGAACGGACUCAUAUUGAAACCUAGUGAUUUAUGAGUUAGUGGCGGACGGGUGAGUAACGCGUGGAAAACCUGCCGUAUACUGGGGGAUAACACUUAGAAAUAGGUGCUAAUACCGCAUAAGCGCACAGCUUCGCAUGAAGUGGUGUGAAAAACUCUGGUGGUAUACGAUGGUUCCGCGUCUGAUUAGCUUGUUGGCGGGGUAAUGGCUCACCAAGGCGACGAUCAGUAGCCGGCCUGAGAGGGUGAACGGCCACAUUGGGACUGAGACACGGCCCAAACUCCUACGGGAGGCAGCAGUGGGGAAUAUUGCACAAUGGGGGAAACCCUGAUGCAGCGACGCCGCGUGAGUGAAGAAGUAUUUCGGUAUGUAAAGCCCUAUCAGCAGGGAAGAAAUAGCGACCUUUGGGUCGCCAGACGGUACCUGACUAAGAAGCCCCGGCUAACUACGUG